rnacentral:rRNA from 1 species
AAAGGCCCCUUCGGGGGUACUCGAGUGGCGAACGGGUGAGUAACACGUGGGUGAUCUGCCCCAAACUCUGGGAUAAGCCUGGGAAACUGGGUCUAAUACUGGAUAUGACCUUUUGCUUCAUGGUGGUUGGUGGAAAGCUUUUGCGGUUUGGGAUGGGCCCGCGGCCUAUCAGCUUGUUGGUGGGGUAAUGGCCUACCAAGGCGACGACGGGUAGCCGACCUGAGANUGUGAUCGGCCACACUGGGACUGAGACACGGCCCAGACUCCUACGGGAGGCAGCAGUGGGGAAUNUUUGCACAAUGGGCGCAAGCCUGAUGCAGCGACGCCGCGUGAGGGAUGACGGCCUUCGGGUUGUAAACCUCUUUCGGCAGGGACGAAGCGC